rnacentral:tRNA from 1 species
GGCGCCGGUCGACACGGCGUUCCCGAGACUGUAAAUCUGCCGGCUCAGCCUACGGAGGUUCGAAUCCUCCCCGGCCCA